GAUGAACGCUGGCGGCGUGCCUAAUACAUGCAAGUCGAGCGAACAGACGAGGAGCUUGCUCCUCUGACGUUAGCGGCGGACGGGUGAGUAACACGUGGAUAACCUACCUAUAAGACUGGGAUAACUUCGGGAAACCGGAGCUAAUACGGGAUAAGAUAUUGAACCGCAGGGUUCAAUAGUGAAAGACGGUUUUGCGGUCACUUAUAGAUGGAUCCGCGCCUGAUUAGAUAGUUGGUAAGGUAACGGCUUACCAAGGCAACGAUGCGUAGCCGACCGGGGAGGGUGGUCGGCCAACCUGGAACUGGGGAAGCGUCCAGGGUCCUACGGGAGGGCACAGUAGGGAAUUUUCGGAAAUGGGGGGAAACCUUGAGCAACAAAGGCGCGUGAGAGAUAGAGGUCUUCGGAUCGUAAAACUGUGUUAUUAGGGAAGAACAAAUGUGUAAGUAACUCUGCACGUCUUGACGGUAACUAAUAAGAAAGCCACGGCUAACUACGUG
rnacentral:rRNA from 1 species